UUUCCAGGAAAUCCUACAAAAUUUGGGAUGGGAUCCCCUUUUUCCAGGAAAUCCUACAGGAAAUUUGGGAUGGGAUCCCCUUUUUCCAGGAAAUCCUACAGGAAAUUUGGGGUAGGAUCCCCCUUUUUCCAGGAAAUCCUACAAUAACCAAGGCUCACAAACCCUUUAUUUACCCUAUAAAUGGUUUGUGGGGUCCCUUUUCCCAGAAAAUCCUAAAAUAAAGUUUAUGGGAUCACGAAGCUCCCACAAAAUUCAUUCCCAGCUCCCCCCAAACCCCGUUUGGGUUUAUAGGAUUGGGAAGGAGCCGCUCUCCCUUUCCCAGAGGUUUUGGGAUCAGGGUUUGGGAUCGGGUUUGGGAUCAGGAUCAGGGUUUGGGAUCAGGUUUGGGAUCAGGGUUUGGGAUCAGGUUUGGGAUCAGGGUUUGGGAUCAGGGUUUGGGAUCAGGGUUUGGGAUCAGGUUUGGGAUCAGGUUUGGGAUCAGGUUUGGGAUCAGGUUUUGGGAUCAGGUUUGGGAUCAGGGUUUGGGAUCAGGGUUUGGGAUCAGGUUUAUAGGGUUGGGAAGGAUCCCUC